rnacentral:tRNA from 1 species
GGUGGUGUUGGCCAGGUGGUAACGUCACCAAAUUAUCAUACCGGGGAUGUGGGUUCGAAUCCCACCACCACCG